GGGCUGUAGUUCAAUGGCAGAACUUCUGCUUCCCAAGCAGAUAGCGCGGGUUCGAUUCCCGUCAGCCC
rnacentral:tRNA from 1 species